AUUGAACGCUGGCGGCAUGCCUUACACAUGCAAGUCGAACGGCAGCACGGGAGCAAUCCUGGUGGCGAGUGGCGAACGGGUGAGUAAAGUAUCGGAACGUGCCCAGUCGUGGGGGAUAACGUAGCGAAAGUUACGCUAAUACCGCAUACGAUCUAUGGAUGAAAGCGGGGGAUCGCAAGACCUCGCGCGACUGGAGCGGCCGAUAUCAGAUUAGGUAGUUGGUGGGGUAAAGGCUCACCAAGCCGACGAUCUGUAGCUGGUCUGAGAGGACGACACGCCACCCUGGGACUGAGACACGGCCCAGACUCCUACGGGAGGCAGCAGUGGGGAAUUUUGGACAAUGGGCGAAAGCCUGAUCCAGCCAUGCCGCGUGCAGGAUGAAGGCCUUCGGGUUGUAAACUGCUUUUGUACGGAACGAAAAGGUUUGGCCUAAUAAGCUGAGCUCAUGACGGUACCGUAAGAAUAAGCACCGGCUAACUACGUGCCAGCCGCCGCCGUAA
rnacentral:rRNA from 1 species